rnacentral:rRNA from 1 species
CCCUUCGAUGUUCUGGGCUGCACGCGCGCUACACUGAAGGAGGCAGCGUGUACUCCUGGAUCGAAAGAUUUGGGUAACCCGCGAAUCUCCUUCGUGCUAGGGAUUGAGGUUUGCAAUUAUCCUUCAUGAACGAGGAAUUCCCAGUAAGUGCAAGUCAUAAGCUUGCGCUGAUUACGUCCCUGCCCUUUGUACACACCGCCCGUCGCUCCUACCGAGUGGGUGAUCCGGUGAACUAUUCGGACUCCGGUUAUUCCAGCAUUUGGUUUUGCUGGGGAAAGUUUCGUGAACCUUAUCACUUGGAGGAAGGAGAANUCGUANCA